UGGGGAAUCUUGGACAAUGGGGGCAACCCUGAUCCAGCCAUGCCGCGUGAGUGAAGAAGGCCUUAGGGUUGUAAAUCUCUUUCAACGACGAAGAUGAUGACGGUAGUCGUAGAAGAAGCCCCGGCUAACUCCGUGCCAGCAGCCGCGGUAAUACGGAGGGGGCUAGCGUUGUUCGGAAUUACUGGGCGUAAAGCGCGCGUAGGCGGAUUGGUCAGUCAGGGGUGAAAUCCCGGGGCUCAACCCCGGAACUGCCCUUGAAACUGCCAGUCUGGAGUUCUGGAGAGGUGAGUGGAAUUCCGAGUGUAGAGGUGAAAUUCGUAGAUAUUCGGAGGAACACCAGUGGCGAAGGCGGCUCACUGGCCAGAUACUGACGCUGAGGCGCGAAAGCGUGGGGAGCAAACAGGAUUAGAUACCCCCGUAGUCC
rnacentral:rRNA from 1 species